AUUUAUUUAACGCGAUCGUUUAUAAGCGACCUCCACUACUUGUGAAUAAAAGUUUGUAACUAUUAGGUGAAACUCCCUUAUACUCUAACAUCAUAUUCAUGCAUGCAAACUAAGUGUGCACUCUUAAUAAACAUACACGAAUAAGUUAGCAAUCAAGCAGUUAAACAAAUUGAAUUCACAACUUAUGAAAUCAAAACUGAAGGUAAUCAAAUCAUAUUGCAAGCAUGAACAUGGUUUCGAAUUCCCCCCUAGCUAAGGGGGGUUAGUUCCUCAUACUCACAAAGCAAAGAUAAACAAAUUUAGACAUUGAAACCAAAAGAAUGAAAACACCUAAAAACGCUCCAACAAUCCAACUUGAAUGGCAAACACGUCCAAGGGUCCUCCUUCUUCUCUUUGUUGCGGUACAAAGUGUGGUUUGAUGGAUGAGUGGUAAAUUAUGGUGGUGGAUGGAUAUAGGUGAGUUAUGGUGAAGGGUGGAUGGGUGGAUUAUGUUCUCUCUGGUUUUCUUCCCCCUUGUUAUGGUGAAAGGUGGAUGUAUUUAUAGGCUAGGGAGAGGACCACCAUCUAAUUAAGGUGGUAGUGAUGAGUGUUGUGGUAAUGAUGUUUGAUAAUGAGUGGAUGUAAUGGGUGUAGUGGAUGGAUGUUUGGUAAUGAGUGGAUGUAAUAGGUGUAGUGGAUGAGUGUUUGGUAAUGAGUGGAUGUAAUGGGUGUAGUGGAUGAGUGUUUGUAGUUGUAGGUCAACACACUUGCACACAUACAUGCUGAUUUCUAGCAUUCUAAUCUUCAAAAACGUCUAUCCUCAUGUCUCCAUGCUUGCACUAUCCAAUCUUGGCCCAAAAAUGCUCCAAAGUGCUCCAAAUAACACUUUGUUGCCAACUUUGUUAGUUGAACCUACAAACACACGAAAAUAGCUUAAAGUACUAAAAUAACUAGAAUUAAACUAAGUAAAUGCCAAGAAACAAGCUCACUAAGUUGCAUAAAUAUGCUCUUAUCAAAUUUCCCCACACUUAGCUUUUGCUAGUCCUCGAGCAAAACAAAAGAAACAAAACGAAACAAAA
rnacentral:lncRNA from 1 species